UUUUAAUUUAUCCUCUGGAAUCAAAUUACAGAUAGUCCAGUGCCUGAUUUUCAUGUUUUGAAUUUCUUUUCUGAUAUAUAGAACCAAGAAGGCUGGUAUUGUCGGGAAAUAUGUAGCUCCACCUUCUGCCUGCAAACUCUCGAAUCUGAUCCUCAAACAGCAGCCGCAUCUAAUUAAUGUCCUGACAAUCGCUAAAAUUGCCUGCAGUUAGCAAUUAAAGACUCGACGUACAUGCACGCCUGCUUUGAUAAUGUGUUCAAGAGCAAAACUACCAACCCAGCAAUUCAGCCUGCGAAGCCAUAGCGGUAAGUUUCAGAAGUGCUUACGGUGAGCUUGAAGAUGAUCCCGUGACGGCCGAUUUAUGAUUCCUCCAUAGCCGGUGAUUACAUUGUCAACUGGAAAAAGCCUUGUCUGAUGAUACCAGUGUUCAAAUCGAAUCCGUUCCUAAUAGAAUUCAAGUUACAAGGGAACUACAACCCAUUGGAACAGUUGUUGCAGGCAUUCUUUGUUGGGCUUCUCGAUCUAAUUACUAAUGUUGCUUUCCAUAUAUUUGCCUAUAGCAUGCACGUAAUUUCCUCGUAUGAAGUAUUUUUUGAAGAACAAAUAUAUGUAUUGAUUAAUUUUUAAGCACUGGAUAUAAUUAAUCUAUUUUGUGAACGGUAA